rnacentral:rRNA from 1 species
UUGACCUCGGAUCAGGUAGGGAUACCCGCUGAACUUAAGCAUAUCAAUAAGCGGAGGAAAAGAAACCAACAGGGAUUGCCUCAGUAACGGCGAGUGAAGCGGCAACAGCUCAAAUUUGAAAUCUGGCCCUUGCUGGGUCCGAGUUGUAAUUUGUAGAGGAUGCUUCGGGUUCGGCUCCGGUCUAAGUUCCUUGGAACAGGACGUCACAGAGGGUGAGAAUCCCGUACGUGACCGGCCGCCACGCCCGUGUGAAGCUCCUUCGACGAGUCGAGUUGUUUGGGAAUGCAGCUCAAAAUGGGUGGUAAAUUUCAUCUAAAGCUAAAUACCGGCCAGAGACCGAUAGCGCACAAGUAGAGUGAUCGAAAGAUGAAAAGCACUUUGGAAAGAGAGUUAAAAAGUACGUGAAAUUGUUGAAAGGGAAGCGCUUGCAAUCAGACUUGCCCGCGGGUGAUCAGCCGGUAUUCUUACUGGUGCACUCGCCCGUGGUCAGGCCAGCAUCGGUUUGGGCGGCUGGACAAAGACCCCUGGAAUGUAGCUCCUCUCGGGGAGUGUUAUAGCCGGAGGUGCAAUGCAGCCAGCCCGGACCGAGGACCGCGCU